rnacentral:rRNA from 1 species
UACGAGGGGAGCAAGCGUUGUUCGGAUUUACUGGGCGUAAAGGGCGCGUAGGCGGUCGUGACAAGUCACUUGUGAAAUCUCCGGGCUUAACUCGGAACGGUCAAGUGAUACUGUCGGACUAGAGUACAGAAGGGGCAACUGGAAUUCUCGGUGUAGCGGUGAAAUGCGUAGAUAGUCGGGAGGAACACCAGUGGCGAAGGGCGGCCUCUCUGGGCCUUUCCUGACGCUGAG